rnacentral:rRNA from 1 species
GUGGGGAAUCUUGCGCAAUGGGCGAAAGCCUGACGCAGCCAUGCCGCGUGAAUGAUGAAGGUCUUAGGAUUGUAAAAUUCUUUCACCGGGGACGAUAAUGACGGUACCCGGAGAAGAAGCUCCGGCUAACUUCGUGCCAGCAGCCGCGGUAAUACGAAGGGGGCUAGCGUUGCUCGGAAUUACUGGGCGUAAAGGGCGCGUAGGCGGACAGCUUAGUCAGAGGUGAAAGCCCAGGGCUCAACCUUGGAAGUGCCUUUGAUACUGGCUGUCUUGAGUUUGGGAGAGGUGAGUGGAACUCCGAGUGUAGAGGUGAAAUUCGUAGAUAUUCGGAAGAACACCAGUGGCGAAGGCGACUCACUGGCCCAAUACUGACGCUGAGGCGCGAAAGCGUGGGGAGCAAACAGGAUUAGAAACCCGUGUAGUCC